UUUUGGUCAUGCUGACUUAUUUGUAAAUCUUACUUUGCUGAACAUUAUUGCUGUUUACAGUUUAUCUCUAUCUAUAAUAAUAUUCAAGAUAAUAACCAACCAGAUGCUCCGCAGGGCGUAGCUUUAUACGACCGCAGAGGUUGAACACUGAAUGGUUGGGGUAAGUAUGGACACAACAUUCAAGCUGGAUUCAGCUCUAAAUUUGGAUUGUGAUUAAAUAGUUGACACAGCAUAGGUUUCUGAUACAGAAUGAAUGUGUUCUAAUGAACUUAAAAUUUUUGUUUUCUCUUAGAGCAAUUCACUAUGCUGUUGAAUAUCAAUCCUCUCAAAACAAGAAUGUGUCCUCAGUACACGAAUGCCCCACUCGCACUGUCAUUUUCCAUGUUCAGUGGACCGUGAAAUUGGGGUAAAAACUCUAAUUUGGCAUUAAAAUUAGAAAGAUCAUAUCAUAGGGGACAUGUGUACUAAGUUUGAAGUCGAUUGGACUUAAACUUCAUCAAAAACUACCGUGACCAAAAACUUUAACCUGAAGCGGGACAGACGGACGGACGGACGAGCGGACGGACGGACGAACGAACGAACGGACGGACGCACAGACCAGAAAACAUAAUGCCCCUCUACUAUCAUAGGUGGGGCAUAAAAAUGUUUGAAGAAAUUUUCUUUUUUAUUUAUGAAAUUUCAAAUGAGAAAAAUUGAACCCAAUUUUUUUAAUCACAUCCCCCUUUCCCUUAUUCCAAAACUAAUCUCAAUUAAAAUUUCUAAUGGAGUUUGCAACAAUAACUACUCAUUUAAAU
rnacentral:lncRNA from 1 species